CAGCAGCCGCGGUAAUACGAAGGGUGCAAGCGUUACUCGGAAUUACUGGGCGUAAAGCGUGCGUAGGUGGUGGUUUAAGUCCGUUGUGAAAGCCCUGGGCUCAACCUGGGAAUUGCAGUGGAUACUGGGUCACUAGAGUGUGGUAGAGGAUAGUGGAAUUUCCGGUGUAGCAGUGAGAUGCGUAGAGAUCGGAAAGAACAUCUGUGGCGAAGGCGACUAUCUGGGCCAACACUGACACUGAGGCACGAAAGCGUGGGGAGCAAACAGGAUUAGAUACCUCGGUAGUCCCUGUCUCUUAUAC
rnacentral:rRNA from 1 species